GAUGAAGAACGCAGCGAAAUGCGAUACGUAAUGUGAAUUGCAGAUUUCAGUGAAUCAUCGAAUCUUUGAACGCACAUUGCGCCCGCUAGUAUUCUGGCGGGCAUGCCUGUUCGAGCGUCAUUUCAACCAUCAAGCCCUAGGCUUGCGUUGGAGCCCUGCGGCUGCCGCAGGCUCCCAAAUCCAGUGGCGGGCUCGUCGUCGUACCGAGUGCAGUAAACAUCCUCGCUCAGGGAACGUGACGGGUUCUUGCCGUGAAACCCCCCACAUAUCAAGGUUGACCUCGGAUCAGGUAGGAAUACCCGCUGAACUUAAGCAUAUCAAUAAGCGGAGG
rnacentral:misc_RNA from 1 species